GGGGAUUCUUCGGAGAGUUGGGAUUUUUCUGUCGCAAGUUAGAAUAAUCUGCAUUAUUAACCACUUAACAUUUAUUUAUUGAUUGGCUGCCUGACCUUUCUGAGCCUCAAUUUCUUCGUCUGUAAAUUGGUAGCUUGCCAAGGUCGGAGGACUGUUGGAAUUGGAAAUAUUCAAAUAAGGAAAUGUUUUUGUAAGCGCUUUGUAAGCAGCAAAGCGCUACUUCAGGGGUCAAUUUUUUUUUAGCCCUGCAGUCACCACCCAAAUUUGGGAGAUAGUUGGAUCCUCAUCCUUUCUUGGAUGAGGAUGCCCGGCUCCAGCGCGGGGAUAGGACAGUCUUUUCCUUGCUGGGAGUCCGCUGUGGAGGGGGCGAUGCGCUCUGUCCAGAGCCUAGGAGAGUCCCUUUCUCCCUCCACCCUCGGCUCUCAGCUGGCAGCUCCCCCGACGCGCACCGCCUCUUUGCCCCCAGCCUGCAGUGCGCUCUUCCCCAGGACGCCUCCUCUGUUCUCUGCACGCCGCCGGCCCUCCUGGGGUUGCUUUCUGCCGCGGCGUCUUCGCGAAUAUCCGCUCUUGCUGUCUGCCUUGGCGUCCCUCCGGGUUACCCCACACCGCCUCCGACCCUCCUAGGGCUCCGCGCGGGAGGAGGGGCAGGGCAUCCGCGUUCGUGUCUGGGCCCUGGUCGGGAGUCGCGUGGUCCAACCCUCGUUUUUCAGAGGAGGGAUCUGAAGCCCAGCUAGGCUCCUAAUUCCAGACAGAGCCCCCACGGAGCCCAGUUCUCUGGAUGCUUUCCUGGGGCUUUUUUCACUGGGCCAGGUUGGGUGGGUCUGGAGAGAACUCCUGCAGCCGGAAGAUAAAGAAAUACAGAGAGAAGCCCUGGGGAGUGGGGCCACCCUGGUCCCCUGGGCAGGCUCCAGUCUCUGGACCAGUGGGGCAGCAGAGGCCUCGGAAGCUGCAGAGAUUUCCUGGGGACACUCCUGAGGGAAGUCCUGCCUAUCGCAGAGAAGCCCACGGCAGACAACACAAGCCCCAGAAAAGCACUGGCUGCCGUUGGCUGCAGGUUCCUGCAUCUAUUUUCCAGCGUGCACUUCAUUUGAAUAAAAAUGAGACCAUUUUGUAUACACUGUUUUUGUGUCUUCCUUUUCUCACUGCGUAA
rnacentral:lncRNA from 1 species